rnacentral:tRNA from 1 species
GGUGAGAUGGCUCAGUGGUUAAGAGCACUGACUGCUCUUCCAGAGGUCCUGAGUUCAAAUUCCAGCAACCA